CACGGAGUUAGCCGGAGCUUAUUCUCCCGGUACUGUCAUUAUCAUCCCGGGUAAAAGAGCUUUACAACCCUAAGGCCUUCAUCACUCACGCGGCAUUGCUGGAUCAGGCUUUCGCCCAUUGUCCAAUAUUCCCCACUGCUGCCUCCCGUAGGAGUCUGGGCCGUGUCUCAGUCCUAGUGUGGCUGAUCAUCCUCUCAGACCAGCUAUGGAUCGUCGGCUUGGUGAGCCUUUACCUCACCAACUACCUAAUCCAACGCGGGCUCAUCCUCGGGCGAUAAAUCUUUGGACUUACGUCAUCAUCCGGUAUUAGCACGCCUUUCGGCGAGUUAUCCCGAACCCAAGGGCAGAUUCCCACGCGUUACGCACCCGUGCGCCACUAGACCCGAAGGUCUCGUUCGACUUGCAUGUGUUAGGCAUGCCGCCAGCGUUCGUUCUGAGCCAGGAUCAAACUCU
rnacentral:rRNA from 1 species